CACUGAUAUCAUGCUGGACAUUACUGGAGGGCAAAGCUCAAAAGCUCUGUGUGGGAUCCAAGGUCUUGUUGGCCACCGAGUAAAGGGAACCAGUUCCUGCCUCAGGCCCUUACGCUGGUACAAGAAACCUGACCGCUCAGCAAUAUCAAGCCAACUAUAUGUGUUACAAACUCCACAUGGACCAAAAUAAGAAAUUGGCCAUGUAGUGUGUUACACACGUUGUGGUGAUUGAGCAACAAAGUGGUGCCACACUCUACUGUGCCCAUCAAAACUAAUUUAACAAUUUAUAAGGACAUGUACAGCUAAAUCCAUCAAGAAUUUAUCUGGUUGGAUGAAAAUGGAGCCAUCCUUUUCUCCAACCCCACCAGAUGCAUUGAUGAGCAAGAGAUUGGGGGACAGGUUUGAGGUCGCUGGUGAUGAAGAAGGCCCUUCCACCUACACUCCCCUCAGCCAUGGACCUCCUACUACUAUUCACAUGCCCCGAUUUUCAUUUUCAAGGACAACAACCUCAACCAGCUUGCAAAGGCCCCCGACCUCCAACAAAAGCCUUC